rnacentral:rRNA from 1 species
UACAGAGGUCCCAAGCGUUGUUCGGAUUCACUGGGCGUAAAGGGUGCGCAGGUGGGUUUGCAAGUUUGAUGUGAAAGCCCCGGGCUUAACCCGGGAAUGGCAUUGAAUACUGCAGAUCUGGAGGAUUGGAGGGGAGACUGGAAUUCCCGGUGUAGCGGUGAAAUGCGCAGAUAUCGGGAGGAACACCAGCGGCGAAGGCGGCACUCUGGGCUGGAACUGACGCUGAGGAGCGAAAGCGUGGGUAGCAAACAGG